UACGAAGGGUGCUAGCGUUGCUCGGAAUCACUGGGCGUAAAGGGUGCGUAGGCGGGUCUUUAAGUCAGGGGUGAAAUCCUGGAGCUCAACUCCAGAACUGCCUUUGAUACUGAGGAUCUUGAGUCCGGGAGAGGUGAGUGGAACUGCGAGUGUAGAGGUGAAAUUCGUAGAUAUUCGGAAGAACACCAGUGGCGAAGGCGGCUCACUGGCCCGUUACCGACGCUCAGGCGCGACAGCGUGGGGAGCAAACAGG
rnacentral:rRNA from 1 species